GUCCAGCUAGCUCAGUUGGUAGAGCAUGAGACUCUUAAUUUCAGGGUCAUGGGUUUGAGCCCCAUGUUGGGCA
rfam:Heterocephalus glaber contig110762, whole genome shotgun sequence.